rnacentral:rRNA from 1 species
GACGAACGCUGGCGGCGUGCCUAAUACAUGCAAGUAGAACGCUGAAGGAGGAGCUUGCUUCUCUGGAUGAGUUGCGAACGGGUGAGUAACGCGUAGGUAACCUGCCUGGUAGCGGGGGAUAACUAUUGGAAACGAUAGCUAAUACCGCAUAAUAGCAGUUGUUGCAUGACAACUGUUUGAAAGGUGCAAUUGCACCACUACCAGAUGGACCUGCGCUGUAUUAGCUAGUUGGUGGGGUAACGGCUCACCAAGGCGACGAUACAUAGCCGACCUGAGAGGGUGAUCGGCCACACUGGGACUGAGACACGGCCCAGACUCCUACGGGAGGCAGCAGUAGGGAAUCUUCGGCAAUGGACGGAAGUCUGACCGAGCAACGCCGCGUGAGUGAAGAAGGUUUUCGGAUCGUAAAGCUCUGUUGUAAGAGAAGAACGAGUGUGAGAGUGGAAAGUUCACACUGUGACGGUAUCUUACCAGAAAGGGACGGCUAACUACGUG